rnacentral:lncRNA from 1 species
CCAAGUUCAGUGAACCUAACACACUGUUCAUUCAGCCAUUGAAACCCAGCAGAGGAGCAGGCAGGGAAGGGAGGGUGGAAGGACAGAGGCUCCCCUUUCUUCUGGGCUUGGUUCCGGAGGAGGCCAAAAGAGAGUUUACCAGGGAAGCAAUUUGAAGGCAAAAGUCCACUCUAAAGUGAAGAUUCCUCCAGAAGCCGUCCACGGAGACCACGAUCAGGAAGCCUGGGCCGACUGCCUAUGAGAGGUGAACACAAGAGAUUCCCCUGAAGGUCACAGACCGGCUGGUUGGUGUAUGCAAAAGAGAAAGAGAGACCCUGUUUGAAAAAGGCUGAAGGUUUGCUGAGUUGAAUGCCAAAGAGUCUUCGAAGGACGAUUUCCAUUCAGGGAGAUCCGGUUACCCAGCUCCUAGAAAAGGAAGAAGACAUUCCUUAGGGCAGCAAUCCACACAUUGUUGGAACUAAAACAGUGGACACUGUGGAGACACAGGAUUUGUGAGUCUUUAGAUGGACUAACUUUACCCAUCCAUGCAGGAGCCAUGGAUAAUUUUAGACAGACAGGCAACUGAAGAAAGUCCCCCAAUGUCACUUACAGUGGGAUGAUGCUCCAGGUACAACAAAGAGCAAAAGACCAGCUAUGCAUAGAAAUCCUGGUGCAUAGCAUACUAAGGAGGAUUAUUUAAAAACGAACAAAGGUAUAUUUUUAAGUCAGUUCUGACUUCUAAGGUAGGAGUUCAAACUAAGCCAAAUUUCAUGAACAUAUCAUCAUUGAAACCAUGAUGGCUGAACUUCUUGUAAAAGGACCUCAUGCUUGGAGGACCUCUGUGUGCCUGUGAACUUAACCAACAUGUACGAGAUAAUGACCCCAGGACUGCUGUGUGCAGCUAAAGCAUCACGAUUAUUAUGUAAUGAUAUGGUGUUUGAGGUUUGGUGGAUGGUAAGAAUAAGGUAGAACCUGUAAAGACAGAAAUUCAAGAAUCCAGCAGCUCAAGAAGGAGGGAGAGAGAGGAGCAACCCCUGCAAUAAAUCUUGGCAUCUGAGGUUGUAAUCGAUGGAAUUCUUGCCCAGUCUAUCAUAAGGUUUCCAGAGGAGAGAACCAACCUGGAUACAAGAGGCAGAGCUCAAAGGUCAGAGAGUGGCCCGAGAGCAGCAAUACUGUGAAGACAAUGACUUAAUUGGGAGUGUAACUACCAGUGGUUACCACAAAUGGAACUCCAGCUAUUCCUUCAGAGGCCCUACCUGAUCACAGAGGAAGCUCUCAUACCUAGGUUGCCCCUUCCCAGUUAUCCUUCCUUGAGGCACAGGACCUAGACUUUCCUGCCCAUUCCCAGGAAGGACAACUGAGUUCUGCCAACGUUUCUGUCAACUGGAGGAAUGCUUUAUUCCACCUUAAAUGGGGUGUCAAGUAUUGGGGUUAUACCUGGAUCUAGUUUUUUAAACCACUGGGGAUUUACGUGUCUUACUAGUUGUUACUAGUGUCAGGGCAUGUUGCAAGAUGAAUAGUGCCAGCAGAUGUGGGGCAUUCUAUCCAAAGCUCCAGCCUUAGUGUACUCAUGGAGGCACAGACAACACUCCACUAUUGUCUUCUGUGAUCUCUAAUCUACAGUUUUCUCCAAAGAAAUGUAGUUAAACUGCCUCAUCUAAAGAUGAGAACAAUUGAAUGUCUUAUUACAACUAAAGUGAAACAAUGGAUUAUUUCCUAAAACAACAGAACAGCUAGUAAAAUAAUGAGUGGUGAUGCCCUCCUAGGUUCAUUUUAUUUUAC